AUGAAUUGGAUGGGCAUGAUGAAGUUGUAUAGUCAACAUUGGGACUGCGAACUGUAUUUACUUAGGAACAUUGUCCAACAUGAGAGGUACUUAAGAGAACAUUUAUUCCUUCAUCUCUUGUUUCAAUGUCCUUCAAAUCAGAGGAAUGGUUCUCCAAGUCCCUUAAAGCUGCAAGAUCAAUGUAUGGUUGAAGCCGAAGUAACACUAGAUCUCCAACCUCAAAGUGUGGUGUCCAGAUUCAGAAUCGUGGUUAGCUCAUGA